AUUAGUUCAAAGCCAGCCCCAGCAACAGUGAAUUGCUAAGCAACUCAGGGAGACCCUGUCUCUAAAUAAAAUACCAAAUAGGGCUGGGGAUGUGGCUCAGUGAUUGAAUGCCCCUGAAUUCAACCCCUGGUACUCCUCACCCCCCAAAAUAUAUAGCAGUCAGUAUAUAACAUUCUUCAAUCUUUCAUUUUCAACCUUUUAGUAUCUUUAUGCUUUAUGCAUAAGAUUCAGGAUCCCAGGGUAUAAACAGGGAAUGCAAUUCAAAAUGUUAAUGGAAGAGAGUUUAAUGAAGGAAUUCUUUAGAAAGGUGUGGAGUGGACAGUAUUAGGGAACCAAAGAAAGAUGAUGAAAUGCUCUAGCCACUGGUCACCAAGAAAGGUAUUUAUGCCCCUAGCUCUAAAAGGUCAAAGAGGAGAACAUUAUUCCUGGAAUCCAACAAAAGCUGUUUCUUGGGAAAGUAGUGCCUGUCAGGAGCUGUUGUCCUAACCAGAGAUAGCUGAAAUACUCUGGCACAGCUGGGAGGGAAACGGGGGGAACUAACAUACCUACUUUUCUUUCUCCCAUCCUAUGAUCUCCUGCCACCAUCUACUAUUGGCCAAACCCUACUAGCAGUUAAAGAAUAAGGUAUUCAGAGAACUGAGUGGGGACACAGAGCCAGACAGAGAAGUGGGGAGAGGAGCCAACAUGGCAGCAGCUCAGGCUGGAUUUGUUGGGGUAGUGAUCGUUUUUAGCUUUUAAACAGAGCACUCUUUCCAUUUAUUGAGAUUAGUCUAUUUAUACCAUCUUAUUUUGUGACUCAUCUGUUUUCUUCUCCUGUCAUGACUGCUUUUUGCUUAUUUGAGCCAAAAUUUUUCCCAUUCUAUUUUUUCCAUUGCUGUCAUUUUAGAAAUUUAUCAUGUACUGCCUUUAACUCCCCACCAAACAAUGGAAGGAUCUUUGGAGCACUUUUAUUAUUCCUCUCUUUACUUAUAUGUAAAAAUCAUUGUUGGGUAUUUUUAAACCAAUAAGAUAUUAUUUAUUGUUCUGUAUAGCCAAUAUUUAUUUAGAUUCACCUGCUUUCCUUGAUUAACAUUUGUUCUUGCAUCUUAAACUUUCCAUCUCAAAUCAUUCUCUCUCUUUCAAUCUUUUGGAAUGUCCGCCAUGGAGAUCUAUUGGUGAUAAACUCUUCAUACAAUUUCUUAUUUUUGAAACUGUCUUCAUCUCACCCUCGACAUUGAAUAACAUUUUUGCCAAGUGUAUAAUUUUAGGUUGACAUCUUCACAUAUAUUAUUUCAUAGCCUCAGGGUGUUCAUAUAUUUGUUGAGAUGUCUGCUGUCAACCUCAUUGUCACUCCUUUGAAGGAUAGAUUUAUAAAUAUUUUCCACAUUUUUGGUGUUGCAGUUUCACCAUGAUAUGUCUAGAUGUCAAUUUCUUUAAAUAUGUAUCCUUCUUGGGAUUUAUGGAUAAUUCUAGGACUUGUUGACUGCAAUCUUUCAUUGGUUCAUAACAAUUAUCAUAUUCCUUCAAAUAUUACCUCUGCUUCAUUUGUUCCCUUUCCUCUCCUUUUUGGAACACUGAAUAAAAUUUUC
rnacentral:lncRNA from 1 species